rnacentral:rRNA from 1 species
UACGUAGGGGGCAAGCGUUGUCCGGAUUUACUGGGCGUAAAGAGCGUGUAGGCGGCCACGCAGGUCCGUUGUGAAAACUGGAGGCUCAACCUCCAGACGUCGACGGAAACCGUAUGGCUAGAGUCCGGAAGAGGAGAGUGGAAUUCCUGGUGUAGCGGUGAAAUGCGCAGAUAUCAGGAAGAACACCAAUGGCGAAGGCAGCUCUCUGGGACGGUACUGACGCUGAGACGCGAAAGCGUGGGGAUCAAACAGG